GUUGUGUGUGGACACCUGAAGACCAGAAAAGAACGAAAGGGGCCCCACGGUCAGGUGCGCACAGCUGCUGUUUUAAAGCAGGUGUUGGAAGGAUUGAAAAGAACUGCAGGUAGGGGAGGGGAGCGGGGCCUCACGGGGCACAGUUGGAAGCUGGGGCCGCAUUCUGAGGCAUCCGGGACUGAUUAAACAGAUGUCUACCAGCGAGGGUCUCAGAACCUCCAGGAGCUUCUCCAGGCUUGGGAUUGGAACAGCCCCCUUGCCGGGGUGCCUACUUGGCCAAGAAGGGCAGAAGGCGAGAGGGAGAGAAACCCAAGCAGGCCC